rnacentral:tRNA from 1 species
GGUGUGCUGGCGCAAUGGUAGCGCGUAGCCCUCCUAAGGCUAAGGUUGAGGGUUCGAGUCCCUCGUACAUCG